rnacentral:sRNA from 12 species
AGCCAUAAGGGUUAGUAUUACCCUUAUGGCAUAUGUGUAGCAUGUAGCG